AUGCAGUCGAGCGGAGAGAGGUAGCUUGCUACUGAUCUUAGCGGCGGACGGGUGAGUAAUGCUUAGGAAUCUGCCUAUUAGUGGGGGACAACAUUUCGAAAGGAAUGCUAAUACCGCAUACGUCCUACGGGAGAAAGCAGGGGAUCUUCGGACCUUGCGCUAAUAGAUGAGCCUAAGUCGGAUUAGCUAGUUGGUGGGGUAAAGGCCUACCAAGGCGACGAUCUGUAGCGGGUCUGAGAGGAUGAUCCGCCACACUGGGACUGAGACACGGCCCAGACUCCUACGGGAGGCAGCAGUGGGGAAUAUUGGACAAUGGGCGCAAGCCUGAUCCAGCCAUGCCGCGUGUGUGAAGAAGGCCUUAUGGUUGUAAAGCACUUUAAGCGAGGAGGAGGCUACUUUAGUUAAUACCUAGAGAUAGUGGACGUUACUCGCAGAAUAAGCACCGGCUAACUCUGUGCCAGCAGCCGCGGUAAUACAGAGGGUGCAAGCGUUAAUCGGAUUUACUGGGCGUAAAGCGCGCGUAGGCGGCUAAUUAAGUCAAAUGUGAAAUCCCCGAGCUUAACUUGGGAAUUGCAUUCGAUACUGGUUAGCUAGAGUGUGGGAGAGGAUGGUAGAAUUCCA
rnacentral:rRNA from 1 species